rnacentral:tRNA from 1 species
GCACCUAUCAUCUAGCGGUUAGGAUACAUCACUUUCUAUGAUGUCACCGGGGUUCGAAUCCCCGUGGGUGUGCCA